UUUCAUAUUUUCUUUUAUUUCCUUACAAAAAUAAUUUAAAAAGUUCCACAAAUUCAGAACUUGGCAACUCUUUAGCGACCUGAACACACACACACACACACACACACACACACACACACAUUAUGUAUACCCCUACACACAUACAUACACAUGUACACACACACAUACAUACAUACACAAAUACACGACAAGAAAAGGAACUCAAAUAUAUUCUACAUUAAUUACGUGUAAAAUUUGAGUGUGUUACAGAUUUGAGUUUUUUCACGAAUUUUGAGUUUUGUCUUUUUCAUGAAUUUUGAGUUUUUCAUAAUUUUCCGUUCUUAACUUUUUGCAAAUUUCGUUUUUCCAGACAAAUUUUGAGUUUUGUUUUCUAUAAUUUUAGUUUGAACUGCAAAUUAAUUUUUCUCACAAGAUUAAGCUUUUUUUCAAAAUUUUAUCUUUUUUUUCACAAAUUUCAAGUUUUAUUCCUUUUAUAAAUUUUAGGUUUUCCACAAAAUUUAGUUGAAACUUUUUACAAAUUUAAGUUUUUGCCUUUUUACAAAUAUCAUUUUAAAUAUUCCUUUACAAAUUUUGGAUUUUCGCAAAUUUUCACUUUUUUCCACAAUUUUCACCUUAAUCUUUUCCAAAAAUUUCCAGCUCACCUCACAAACACUUCCUCUUCAUACCCUUGUUCAAAAUCUCUUCUUUUACUGAAAUCAAAAUCUUGCCAAAAUCUCUCUCUAAAAAAUUUCUUAAGAUACCAAUUUUAUAAGUAAUUCCUACAGUAGCAGCAACAAUAGUAGUAGUAGUUGUAGUAGUGGUAGCAGUAGUAGUAGUAGUAGUUAUCUAUGGUUCUUAUAAUUAUGCUAAGUACACAAAUUACAUCAACCAAUCAUUAAUUUUACUACAUUUAUUAAACCAACCAAUCAUUCUGUCUACAUUAUUUUUUCUCUUAAUAUAGGAACGCUUUUUUUAUAUAUAUUACCCGAUUAAAAUUAGAUACUUUCCUCUUUCCUAAUUUAUUUAUUUUUAAAACUUUCUUUCUCUCUCAUAUUGUUAAAAGGUUUGUCUCUCUCUCUCUCUCUCUCUCUCUCUCACGACUCUCUCUAAUAUUAGUUUCUUUUCUCUCUCUCUUUCUCUCAUUGCAAUCUUUAAUAUUCUCUCUCACAAUCGUCUAAUAUUCUCUCUCUUUCACAUUCUCUCACACACAUUUUCUCUCUCUCUCUCUCUCCGAAUUUCCUCUUUUUUUCCUUCUUUCUUUUUGUCUUCCUUUCUUUCUCUCUCUCUCUCUCUCUCUCUCUCUACAAAUUUCAAUUAUAAUUAUCUCUCUCUUUACAAAUUUCAACUAUAAUUCUCUCUCUCUCUCUCUCUCUGUCUUUACAAAUUCCCCAAAAUCCCCGAGAUUCAAAAUUUCACUCACAGUUUCCACUCGAACAAAAUCACACAAAAAAUAAAUAAAAAUAAUAAUAAUAAUAAAAAUCGAAGCAGUCUUAGAAAAUAUAUUUACAGUUAGCACGAGACUAAAUAUUAUUAUCUUAUUAUUAACCUUAUUAUUAUUAUUAUUAUUAUUAGCUAAGUAUUAACCCUUAUUGUUAUCAUUAUUACUAUCAUCAUUAUUAUCGAUAUUUAUACAGCAUUUACAUUUGAAAACCGGCGAAUGAAUGAAUGAAUAGAUAAGUUACAUAAAUUAAGUGAAAAUGAAAAAUAUGAAAUAAUGAGAAAAUGAAGUCCAAAUAUUUUUUAGAUCGAAGACAAUGUUUCUCUCUCUCUCUCUCUCUCUCUCUCUCUCUCUCUCUCUAACACCAAAAAAUUCUACACACGGAAAAAUAAAUCAAAUAAAAUUGGAUAAAAAACGUACAUGAUUCUUUUUAACCUACAUGUGUGCGUGUGUGUGUACAAAAAUUUCUAUGUAUACAUGAAUUACGUACAUGAGACAGGAACAUGGCUAGGCACACACACACACACACACACACACACACACACACACACACACACACAAACUGAGAUCAUAGUUAUAUAUAUACACACAUAUACACGCACACACACAGAAACGUACACAAGACAACGAGGGGCUAAGUUACACACGUACACACACACACGUACACACACACAUGUAGACUAGCUAACCAACUGACGUACACACACACUUGAGCAAUGACUGUAUGACUGUAUUUACAAGAUGGUUAUGUACACCUAUUUACACGUACACACACACACACACACACACACACGCACAGAGCACCUUAAAAAUACCAAUAAUAAUAAUAAUAAUAAUAAUAAUAAUAAUAAUAAUAAUAAUAAUAAUAAUAAUAAUAAGUUAAUAAUGCCUUUGGUUGCAGUAGUAGUAGUAGUAGUAGUAGUAGUAGUAGUAGUAGUAGUAGAAGUAGUAGUAGAUGAAAAAAUAUAUAUAAAAAACAAAAAUAAUAAUAUGAACAGAAGAAAAAAAGAAAGAAAAGAGAGAGAGAGAGAGAGAGAGAGAGAGAGAGAGAGAGAGAGAGAGAGAGAGAGAGAGAGAGAGAGAGAAUAAGAAACAAGAAAAAACAAACAAGUAUAAAACAAGAAAGUAACAAAGGACGAGGAAAAACAAAACAAACAAACAAACAAACAUAUUCCACCGCCAUUUGAGUGCAUUAUAAGUGUUGGCUACUAACUUGGAACCUGCCAUAAGUGUAGUAGUAGAAGUAGUAGUAGUAGUAGAAGGCUUCAAAACGGGCAUAGAACAAAAAGUGAACAGGAAAAGAACAUGUUACACUUAUGUUCUGUAUAAGUAUGUGUAUUUAAAAGCUGUUAUAAGUGUAGUAGUAGUAGUAGUAGUAGUAGUAAGCUCAGAAACGCGUAUUAUACAAGACAGAAACGAGAAAAAAACAUGUUAUAUCUUCGUUUUAUAAGUGUAUUGGUGUGUCCAGAACCUGUUUAGAACGUGUAGACUGUAGUAGAAAUUGUAGUAGUAGUAGUAGUAGUAGACGUAGGAAGCUUGGAAACGAGUAUAAGACGAAUUUUGAACAGGUAAUAGACAUGUUACACCAAGGCUUAGUGUAAUUACGUAUGUUUGGGGGAUGUGACAAGCUGUAGAGAGUGCAGUAGUAGUAGUAGUAGUAGAAGUAGUAGUAGACGUAGGAGGCUUGGAAACGAGUAUAAGACGAAUUCUGAACAGGUAAUAGACAUGUUACACCAAGGCUUAGUGUAGUUACGUAUGUUUGGGGGAUGUGACAAGCUGUAGAGAGUGCAGUAGUAGUUGUAGUAGUAGUAGUAGUAGUAGUAGCACUAACACCCGGGCAUUCACAACACGGCUAUGUGCGGGGGCCUACAUCAAAGCGAAGGGCUGGACCCACAAAUACUAACACAUUUUUCACUCCUGGAAUCGAGCGAGGAGG